GAAAUAAGUGUUAAAAGUUAAAAUGCGUUCCUGCUUGCAGGAAAAGCAUGUUGACCUUUUGACACGCUGAAACACGAGAAAAUAGUAAUUUUUGUAAAAAAUUGCGGUUUUCGAGUGUUUCCAGGAUUGCGAAAUUUUCCGAAGAAAAUGGAGCAAUCCGUAU
rnacentral:sRNA from 1 species